rnacentral:rRNA from 1 species
AACGCUGGCGGAAUGCUUUACACAUGCAAGUCGAACGGUAGAGGGGGCAACCCCUUGAGAGUGGCGAACGGGUGAGUAAUGUAUCGGAACGUGCCCAGUCGUGGGGGAUAACGUAGUGAAAAUUACGCUAAUACCGCAUACGAUCUAUGGAUGAAAGCGGGGGAUCGCAAGACCUCGCGCGAUUGGAGCGGCCGAUAUCAGAUUAGGUAGUUGGUGGGGUAAAGGCUCACCAAGCCAACGAUCUGUAGCUGGUCUGAGAGGACGACCAGCCACACUGGAACUGAGACACGGUCCAGACUCCUACGGGAGGCAGCAGUGGGGAAUUUUGGACAAUGGACGCAAGUCUGAUCCAGCCAUUCCGCGUGCAGGACGAAGGCCUUCGGGUUGUAAACUGCUUUUGUACGGAACGAAAAAGCUCUUAUUAAUACUAGGAGUCCAUGACGGUACCGUAAGAAUAAGCACCGGCUAACUACGUGCCAGCAGCCGCGGUAAUACGUAGGGUGCAAGCGUUAAUCGGAAUUACUGGGCGUAAAGCGUGCGCAGGCGGUUAUAUAAGACAGAUGUGAAAUCCCCGAGCUUAACUUGGGAACUGCAUUUGUGACUGUAUAGCUAGAGUACGGCAGAGGGGGAUGGAAUUCCGCGUGUAGCAGUGAAAUGCGUAGAUAUGCGGAGGAACACCGAUGGCGAAGGCA